AAUGAGAAAGUUUGUCUAUGUUAUCAGAUACACAACCUUGAUAUAGGAACAGAAAAUGUCAACAUAACUGAUCGAAACAGACGACAGUGAGGGGCUGAUGGUGUCUCAGAGCACUGUACCAGGUUAAACUGGACAGAAUCUUUAAGACUAUCCAGAUUUUCCCCGCCCACGGCGGUGUCAUUCAGGGGAUACAACAUGAGAUGGCAUAAGAAGUUCAAAGUACUUCGUUGUUACAUACUUAUUCUUGGAUGGCUGGGAAUAAUACUGCUCUUCUUGUCAUAUUGGAGAGUGGAGUCAGACACUGCUCACCCUCCUCCUCCCCUCAAAGUCAACAGUGGGUCACAGCCAGUGUCAAGCUCACUGUUGCAAGAGAAACCAAGAAGUAAGAAGUUGCGACACCAGUGCAAUCCACCUGACCGCAUACAGAGGCACCAGGAAGGUGUGUUACCCCCGCAGUAUGAACUUAGCGGGGUAAUGGUUGUCCUCCGCCACGGUGAUAGGGGACCCCUGCUGCACGUAAGGAACCUCUCUAGUAUUAACUGUGGUCACAAAAGCUAUGGAACACAAGUUUAUAAGAAGUAUGUUACGGAUAUCCUAAAUGUCUCUAAGACCAAUACUUACAUUAAUUUUGUUGGGCCAUUCAUGAAGUAUCCAUUGCUGCCAUUGCCAUCCAAGUGUGGUAUUGGGCACCUCACUCCUCAGGGGGUUCUUCAGCAUUUGCAGCUUGGGAAGAUAUUGAAAGAGAUAUAUUUCUUUGAAUUCAAUCUUUUGGGUAACAAGCAAGAAUUAGAUGAUAUUAUUGUUUACAGCACAAAGUAUCGACGUACAUUCCAGAGUGUUCUAAGUUUUUUAUAUUCGUUCAUACCAGAUUUUGAUAUCUCUAAAAUUCGGAUGCGUGAAGGGAAAGGAGUUAGUUUUUGUGAGAAUGAUUGCCGCUGUGAGAAAACUGAUUAUUUUGAUCAGAAAUAUGAUCAGGAACGUAAGGAUUACCGUAAAUCCCACCCUGGCGUAAUUGAUCUCGUUCGUAGAAUUAAUCCGCUGAUUAAGGCAAAUCCAGUGGCUGAGGACAUUGUUAAUCCACUGGUAAUGCGCGAUGCACUCCUAUCUUAUGUCUGCCAUGGUGCUGCAUUGCCUUGUAAUGAUGGGAACUGUGUAAAGGUGGAAGAUGUAACCAGUCUUAUAGCUUAUGAAGAAUGGGAAGGGAAACAAAAGCGUACCUCUGCACAGCGUAAGGCUGCAAAAUUGAGAUCCUAUGGACUGUUGAAAAAUAUUGUGGCCACCAUGGAUGGAAUGAUUGGAGAUGCUAAACCUCGUGUAGUAAUUUAUUCAGGCCAUGACAAAACCCUUAAGUAUUUACUUGACAGUCUUGCUAUUCCCAACUAUCAGCUUCCAUACUAUGCUUCUCGUUUGGUGUUAGAACUGUAUCGCAACUCUUCUGUCACACAGACUUCAGACUAUCGCACAAGUUACUUCUUUAGAUUUGUUUACAAUGGAAAAGACAUCACAAAGUCCAUUCCAUUUUGUGAUAGUAUCACUAUAAAACAGCUUAAAUCUGGAAGUGUGAAGCGAGGAACUAUAAGUCUGUGCAGUGUGAAUAAAUUGGAGACAUAUAUCAGACCAGAACUCUAUUUCAAAGAAUUUAAUGCUGCCUCAUUUCGGGAUGCUUGUCGGAAAUGAUUUUCAAGCCGUACGCCAAGAUGAUGAAGGUUUGGUAUUUUAUUAGCACAAUUCUAGUCGUGAAUUAUAGUCAGUGAGGUUAUAUCAUUAAUAUUCAGUGAGAAGCUACAUUGUCAGUAUUAAAGAGAGUGUAGGUUUAUGACUUGUGUAUAACAAUUUCUUGAUUUGUUACUGUAUUUUGUGUUUAUAGUCCAGGUGCCUCAGUGAACAGAAUAGUGUGAUGUACAGUAAUUAUAAGUGAUAAUUUACUUGUAAUACAAAAGAACUCCUUAUUAUAUAAGUGACAGAUAAGUACAAUACUAAUUUUUUUAUGAAAAUCAUAUAAGUUCAUCUUAUUUUGUGGUAGAAUUGAGUAGAGUAGUGGAGCCAUGCCACGUAGUUGUCUUUUUAUAGUAAGUAGUAGAACGCCAAGUGUAGUAACUCAUCCAGGUAAUGUUAAUACUAACUUAAGUUAUCUUAAUUAAAGAUCCAGCAUGUACAGUAUUCUUAUUUAAUAAGCUUAUUAACUGUAUAGGUAAGUAAUCUUAAUAUACUUAGAGCUUUACUUAAUCAUUCAGUUCAAUGAUAAUAUUGUGUAUUUUCAUGUAUUGUUUUUAGUUUAUUUUACCUUUGUGAGAUAUUAGCAAUACAAAGUUGAUUUUAGUCUACAAAGCUCAAUGGUGGUAGAAUGUUAACCACGCAAGUAAAUGUCACGGGCUCAGUGUAGGUUUAAGUUGUUUCCUUGUGCAUUCAACUAGGGAACAGUGAGGGAACUCAAUUAUUCCCUCCAGUUGGGAACUAAACCCAUGUUCAUCCAUAUGUAAGGCAAGUACUGUACUGUACUCUAUUACUAAUGUAUAUUGUAAUGAUACAGUAUUGGGAAUAAUAUAUCAGUGAUGAACAACUUCAGGAGUAGAGUAUUUACUUUAACAAAAUCUUCUUUGAUAUAUACAAAGAACCUCUAAUGUUCACUAAUUGUUACUUCAUAAAUGGGAGCAUCAUUAAUUUUUCCUUGGGGUGGGGGGGGGGGCAAAGUUAACAUCUGGACCCUGUUCAUGGAUUUAUAAAUUUAUUAUGGCUCAUUUGGAGGCCCCCCAUGGAAACCUUGGGGAGGGCGAGUGCCCCCCCCUCACCCCCCAAAUGACACCCCUGUUCACAAAAUGGAAUACUUGUACUUCAUGUCAACAUCACUUACAUACAGUAGUACCACGUUUGUAACACCACUUCUUUUCCUAUCAGCGGAGUUAAGCAACGUUGGGUCUGGUUAGUACUUCGAUGUGUGACCACUGUAGGGGUUCUGGGUACUCAGUUCUAACUACAGGAGCGAAGACAAACACCUGUAGAGUUUUGUAGGCUCUAUUUGACGGAAUAUACAGAGGUGCGCUACAAGCGCUGGCAGUCCCUACACUCUCUAUGGGUCAACUGACCUCUCUCUGACCUCUCAGGCGACAUGUGGCAAGUGAUACAUUAGCAGCUUCCAGAUGUCACCAGGCACAUUAUCUAAGCGUGUGGGACAUGAUAAAGGGCAUUGCCACACACUACUGACUAGAUAAGUAAUGUAUAUAAAUGGGGUAUAUACAGAGUACACAUACAACAUACAUAAUAUACAUGCAACCACCUGGCCCUAAGAACACCAAAUUCUACUGGCAUAAGGACUCUACUGGAAACAAGCCUCUCAUGGCUUUGUCAGCAGUCUAUGAUCAAAUUGACUGAAUAUCAAUUAUUCUUGACAUCAAGUUUGGCAAAAAUCCUAGUAAUUCACAUAUUUCAAAAACAAAUUAUCCCUUCACUACAGGUCACCUCUUCUAAUAUUCUAUUAGAUGUGAGACACACACACACACACACUUGGAUACAAGGGAUUAAAAGACAAAUUUUACAACAACAAUUAUAUGACUGAAUAUUAAUUGGUUAUUUUUGUCAGGGGUGAGGGAUACAUAUACUUUGAGCAUUUUGUCUGAGUAUAAUUGUCUAUACUCUGUAUUUAUAAUUCCUUGAUAGUAGAGAAUGAACACCAUCCUACCAUACAUGUGUAUACCUGUACAGUAUUAGCAAGACCCAUAUGAGGUCAAUUGUCUCCCAAGAUGAUACUGUACUGUAUAUAGAUGGCAUAUUGUGCGAUGUCUCGGAUUUACAGGUUCACGAGUCUCAGGGCUCACGGAAGACUGACAGGACUUUUUUCCAUGUCUGUACAUACCUGGGAUUUUGGGUGCAAGGUCCCAGUGUCCAUUGUACUCAUCAUAUAAGUCACUUGUUGAUUCACAAAAUCAAUACUUUCACCAUCCUGUUAUUCCCCGAGUUGUGUGAACUAGAGAGGUUCUUCUGUUUGUCACAGUUUCGUAUGAUUAUUCAUGGUAAUUAUUGAACACAGGCUCUCAGCUGGACAGUACAAGUCUUACAAAAUACUAACAUGGAUUAAACUGAGCUUCAUUGUUAUUAGAAUCUUUGCUAACACUGCACAACUUUACAUAUACUGUACUGUGCUUGAUGAUAAUUGCUAUAGCCAGAGCUAUGAAUAUCAUUGCUGUACAAUACUGCACAAGUUCCAAUAGUAAUUUAUAUUUAGAACAGUUUCACAAAGGUUUUAUGUAAAUUUUUACUGUAAUUUAAAAAUAAGAAGUUGUAGUUAACUAUGGUUUAUUCAAUAAGUAAUGGUUGGUCUAUUUUUAAUAUAUUCUGAUAACAGACUAAAGGAUACAAUGCUUCCAGUGAGUCUCUUCUUCAAAUGUCUUUCUCAUGCACUUUGUAUACUAAUAUAUCCAGAUAUUUCAGUGGUGUAGUUGUAGAUCUCAUUUUCAACAUCUUGAAUUCUAAAGUGACAACAGGUUUCAGUGAAAUUCACUAUUUCAGGGUAAUAUGUUUUGUCAUAAAUGAUAUAUUUUAUUUAGCAUGUUCAAUCUAGAGCCACAUUGUGGGUAAAAUUGUUAAUAAAUUUGAAGUGAAUCCCUAUGCUGUUAGUGGUGUAUCCAUUAGAAAGUUGAAUGAAACUAUUGCAUUUAAGCUUCAAAUGUGUUGUGUAAUACAUGUACUAUAUUUGGGAUUCUAGUAAAUAUACUGAACCGGUGUGUAAGAUCAUAAGCGAUGUGCACUCAUCUCUUUACACUUUCAUUUAUGUAAUGCAUUUAUAACUGUAGUUAACUUGCAUGAACACUGAUGUUUGUGUGAGGGAAUGUUUAUAAUGUGAAGCUCCACAUUGAACUAAAAUGCAUUCUUUCAGCUCAGGUAUUAGUCAGCCAUUUUGUUUUUGCUAUCAAAGUGGAUGUAUUGUCAUGACAGUUUUACGUCACAUGUCAAAGGCAAAGCAGUUAAAAUUAAAUGAAGAAUAUGUCAGACUUGGGAGUACUGUACCUAUAAUGAGGGUCAAUACAUUUCAGUAUACUGUAUUUAUUUUCCUUACUGUAUUUUUGUAGACCCAACUGCCAGACAGGUAUUCAUCUCUUCCAAAAGUGAAUGUACUGUAGUUGUUUAAGAUGAGAUAAGAAAUGAAUCCCAGUGUUACAGUGGUACUGUAUUAACAUAUAACAGUAUUUCCAAUAUAUAUUUACAGGAAUAAAUAUUAACUUAAUUGAAUUUAACUGUAACUUUAUGAAUUAUUUACCAAAACGGUUAUAUGAUUAUUUAAAAUAAAUUUGACUCCUGUAGUUUACAAAGUCUCACUCCUCCAUAAACAGGAGUGUACUUUCCCGGGGAGGAAAGGGUCUAUGUUAUUAGUGCCUCAGUAAGGUGAAUCAGGGACCAGCCCUGUAUGUUGAUUAUAUAAAGAGCAAUACUGUAUAAUUAUAAAUUUGUUAUACACCAAAUUUUUGUUUUUAUUAAUAAUAUUUAUUCAGUAGUUUUCAUGGCUCAAAGUAUUCAACUUUACCUUAUUAAAUAAACUUUUCAACUUAAUGGCAGCUUUGCAUCUACUAGUGAGUUUGGUAAUCCAGUGUCAUGACUAGCAGAGCAAUAAAUUUUAUAUAGUAUAAUAUAUAAUACAAAGAGAUGUCUUUGGCUGUAGUGUAGACAUAUCACUUGAUUUUUGUUAUCUGACAUCUGUCUGAUUUUGAAUUGUCCCUCUUAAUGUCUUGCAUGUACUGUACUGUACAAAGUUUAAAUUGUAAGGCAGGUGAAAGAACUUGGAGAUGGGUAGAAAAAUCUUACAUUACUAGUACGUAUAUAUAUAUACUAGUAAGACUAAAAAUUUCCCUGGUAGAUGGUCGAGGCCAUUUAUGUGGUGCAGUGAACUGUAUAUCACCAACCUGAGUCCAUUUGUGUCCCUCAUAUGCCAGGUUUUGCACUGAAGCUCUGCUAGCUGUUAGAGCCCCAAAUAACAAAUUUAUGAUGAUUCCACAUCUAACAUUGUAUCCAUACAGUACUAUGAUUUGGCAGAAGUAGUGCUCAGUGCCUUGAAAGACACAUUUUUGGUAUGUACAGUACUCUUAAAGAAAUGAUGACAACAAGUGUGUCAUGGUCAGAAACCUGACACUCACUGCAAGAACAGUGUUAGUGUAGAGGGAAAGAACUCUCGGUCAAAAGCACCCUCAAGUCAUUCAUCAUAAGAUGAACAAAUAAUGUUCUCAACUUUUUUUGAAGAUGAUGAGGAAACAACAGAAACCUUCCUUCUGAAUGACUUUAUGGUCUGGUCAGUGGACCCUUCUUGGAAUGUGAAGAUUAAAGAGGGUCUGUAAAUAUCAUGAAGAACAAAGAGCAAAUCACCUGUGUCAAAGGGUAAUUUAAAGAGGCACAGUGACCCGGACCACUAAUAAAGCCUCACACAACGAGGAGCUUGUGAUAGCUGACUGCUGUCUAAUGUUCUCUUUAUUGUUCUUGUAAGGCAUCUGUGCAGUUUUUCAUCAUACACCUAUCCCUUAUUAUUCAGGAUAGAUAGCUUGCAGAAGCCCUUGCAAAUAGCAAAAUUUGUAAAUAUUGUACAGUACCAUUUUUCGUUUCCAUAAACCUACCCUUUUAAUGCUGAAAUAAACGAUGUAAUACAUGGUAAUCAUCACCAUAACACCAAAGAAUCAAUUUAACAAAUUAAAAUUAUAUCAAUACAGCACAAGAAGAAGUAUAAGUUUACAGUGUAGUUUAAUUUAUCUAAAGUUACGUUGAGGAGUCGGGGAUGGAGAACGAAGAUAUAAUGUCUGUAAACUGUCUUAAAAUUGUCCAUAUAGGUUAUAUUUUCAAGUUCCCUAAAAUUUUUAAUGUUUUUCAUAUUUUAACCCCUUCGCUACAGGGGAGACUACCUGUACUUUUAAUACUUUAUUUGGCUCUAUGCCAGACGAUUUUAUUCAGCACAGAGGGGAUCCCAUACAUGAGGUUAAAGUACAUAAGAAAAAAACAUUCGUAUUACUCGUGCUCAACUAGAACCAUCUCGAUGUUAAGAUGGUUUUAGUGAGAAUUUUUUACAUAUGUUGAAAAUUGUGUAUAAUGAGUGCAAAAAAUAUCAGCCAGUGUUUCACCAAGAACACAUUGUAUCAAGAAACAGUGAAGGAGGAGAAAUUAUAUAUUAAAAGAAAUGCAUGAACUUGGUGAAGGAACAACAGGUGACCUACAGCAGUGAGAGGAGGAAAUGUGCUAUCCUCAUAAUAUAUAGCAACACUCAAUACCACAAUUUAUAUACUGUACUGUAAUUCUUUUAUGCAUUUUUACAUUUAUUACAUACAUGGAGGUGGUGGUUAGCUGAUGCAGGGUGAGAUGAAGAUUAUGCACAUAUCUUUCAUUUGUUUUGUAAAAUGUAUCUGGUAUGCUGUAUUUGCAUCUAUUUAUUUAUUUCAUUCUUUGGCAAUUUACCAGCUUUAUCACUGCAAGAAUAACAUUAAAUUAAUUAAGGAAUUUGAAUCAUGAGUGUUGUGAACGUGCAACAAAGACAGUAUGUCUCUGGAUAUGUAGCCUAUUGUGUGUCAAAUGCCAAAGUUGCUUUGGAAGCUUCAAGAAGUUCUGAGAUGUAAUCAUGUACAGUUUAACAGUAAAAUACCAACUACCCCUAUUAUACUUCCAGAUGCUAUUCAGGAAUAGUCAAAACUGUGAAUGGUAAAUUUUAAAAUAACAGAGGAUGCCAUAUUUCCAUUUCAUUAACUUACUCUACAGUACUUCAAUUAACUUCUAAUUUUAUUUUCCCAUUCAUUUUGAUACAAAAUAUAAACAAGACUUCCUGAUUUGUGCCUCUUUAUCAGUUGGACUCUAUAAAUAUGCUUAAGCUACCCUUUAAUGACUUGGGAUUAUAAAAAAUUUAGUGUGAACUGUUCUUAAGGGAUUGGUAAUGUACACACAUUAUGAUCCAAGCAGCUCAUGCAUAUGUAUAACCAAUUUACCUACAGGUUAUAUUGAUGAACCUUUAGACAUUAGUGAGGCAAAUACUGUAAUACAUGAAUUCAUUACAGUGCUGUCUUCUGUCAUCUCAUAACCAGGUCCCCAAAAGGGGGAUCUUUAGAAAGAACAGUCACCACUGAGUGUCAUUAUGUCAGUAUGUGAUGUCCACACCUGUCACUUCACUCAGACAUAAGCUAUCAUUCCAUUACUUAUAGUUGCAGCCAUUGUUGCCACUGAAGCCACAUCUUAUAGCAGGAGCUAAAUACUGUUUGCCUAUUUUUUAGCAUUUUACAUUUAAAGGCUUGGCCACACAGGAAGCCAUUAUUGCCCAUGUUGUUUAUACUGUAUAUUGCAAGAGUUAUUUAAAUGGUGAAAUAGAUGAGUAACAUGACACUGAAAAAUUGGAAACCCUGUUCAGAGCUAAGAAGGUGGCUGGGAAGUGAGAGUACACUGUAGAACAUUAUUGGCAAAGUUUUACAUGAAAGUAGGCUCAGAUGGUUCAGGCAUAUGUAGA
rnacentral:misc_RNA from 1 species